UUCAUUCCAGAAUUCACAAACUCGAAAUGUAUUUUUAUCAAUUCAUAAGAGCUUAUAAAACAUAUCUUUUUCUUCCUCUCCCAUGCUUUCUACCAUUUUUCUGCAUUUCAUCUUCUCUAGUUAAUCAAGUCUUUUCUGCCUCUCGAUUUGUGCGAGUACUUGCCUUUUUUUCCUGCCUGUAACUCCGUUUCUUCGUAAGGUUGUCUGCAUCUGUCACUAGUAAGUGCUUCACUCAUUUUAUUCUUCUCCUUUUGCGUUCCUUUUUCUUUUAUUUCCAUGGAGUUGUCUUAUCCUUCUUCUCAAAAUCUAAUUUCUAUGUGUAUUGACGGGACGAGUUUGUCCAAACUCAUUUCUAGAAUCCUUCUACUGACUUUGUCAAUAAGGAGAGGCCCUCCUCUCAGUUGGAAGAGGUUGAGGACCCUGAUUCCUCUUUCGAAGAUGGUGAGAAUGACCACCAUCUCUAUCCCUCAAAAAUGACCCUGACCCAACUUAGAUACGUCCAAGCUCGGUAUAAAAUCGUGACCUCUUAUACUUUAAAAGAGGUGCCUAAGGAUUUCUUAGGUAAUAAUGUUCAAGCUCGGUAUAAAAUCGUGACCUCUUAUACUUUAAAAGAGGUGCUUAAGGAUUUCUUAGGUAAUAAUGUUUUCGAGUCCAAGCAUAUAGUAUUAUAUGAGGAGAAUCCUAAAGCAGGCCUUAGAGUUUUUAUAUAAUUGCUUAAAAGAAACGAGAAGACGAAUAGAGUUCAAGUGGAGUUGUGCAAUAGACACGUUCAUGUCAAGACUUAUCGACAGAUUUGCAACGGACAACUGACAGAAGUUUACCAUCAGCAAGAAUUCAUUGAUAAAUUUCGCAGCAAAAAUUGGCGGCAGGUACACCGACGGAUUAAGGACGGUUCAUCGACUACUAUUACCGACGGUUUUCUUAACUUGUCGGUAAAUUAUGGCGCGAAUUUGUCACAAAAAAUAGAGACAACUUUGAAUUAUUCAGCAACGGCUGAGGGGAGUCGCUAAUUUAUCAGUAGAAUAAUCUGUCCGUAAAUUGCUUACACGAAAUGUAGCGUUACAGGCAAGCAAUUUACCGGCAGAUUAUUAUGUCGGUAACUGUAAAGACACUAUAACACUGCGUUUUGUUUAAGCAAUUUAUUGAUGGAUUAUUUUAUUGGUAAUCCAUCAGUAAAUAAAUUAAUUGAAACGCAACAUUUCCAUGGUCCCUUACAUUUGAGGAGUUAACCUAACUCCUCAAGCAACAGUAGUUGCCCCUCCCCUCUCUCCUUCUUCACUCUCACCCCUCCCUUGUGCCACCACCCUCAUGUGCCGCCACUGCCGUCAUCCUUGUUGAAGAGAGAAAUUUAUUGUGUAAUGUCGGGCAUUUGGUGGCUCAAGGAGUAUUGAAGGCGCAACCUUUUUAUUUUAUUUAAAUAUAUUAGAAGUGUGUAAUAUAUUAUUAUAGAAAAUGGACUCAUUUUACAAGUGGUAGAUGUUCUUUUUA